rnacentral:rRNA from 1 species
UACGUAGGGUGCAAGCGUUGUCCGGAAUUAUUGGGCGUAAAGAGCUCGUAGGCGGCCAGUUGCGUCUGCUGUGAAAUCCCGGGGCUCAACCCCGGGCUUGCAGUGGAUACGGGCUGGCUGGAGGCAGGCAGGGGAGAACGGAAUUCCCGGUGUAGCGGUGAAAUGCGCAGAUAUCGGGAGGAACACCGGUGGCGAAGGCGGUUCUCUGGGCCUGUACUGACGCUGAGGAGCGAAAGCGUGGGGAGCGAACAGG